CUCUUUCGUCCUAGAAAUUAUUUCUAAGGAAUUUAGCAAGAUUAAUCACCUCUUUUGAGACAGAGACUUGCAAUUUGGGCUGGACCCUGGAGGAUCUUGGGACUUUUGAAGAGCCGUUUCUUACUGUCUGUGCCACUUUAGAAAGGAAGACUAGACUCAGAAUCAAGUCUUGGCUCAGUGAAACUGCUUGACUCUCAAUCCGUGCAAUUCCAAUAAGCUGUCACUCAAGGGACUCCACCCACAGGAUCAGACUCUUCCUCCUCCUCAUUUGAAUUUCAAGUAAGGAUGCAAUUAUGAAGACAGCAGGAUCUGCCAACCAAAGGAGAUACCCUCCAGAACUUUUUCUGAGAUAAUGUCAUUGGAACCCAGAGUCUGUCUACAAUCCUGGCUUCCACCUCCUCCAUCUUAGUCACUUAGCUCUUCUUUUGAUUUGGUGAGGACUGAAAGUCCUUAUAAUAAACUUAUCCUUUUUUCUUAAAUUAAACA
rnacentral:lncRNA from 1 species